rnacentral:rRNA from 1 species
CAGCACCUCAAGUGGUCAGGAUGAUUAUUGGGCCUAAAGCAUCCGUAGCUCGUUUUGUAAGUUUUCGGUUAAAUCCAUGCGCUUAACGUAUGGGCUGCCGGGAAUACUGCAGAGCUAGGGAGUGGGAGAGGUAGACGGUACUCGGUAGGAAGGGGUAAAAUCCUUUGAUCUAUUGAUGACCACCUGUGGCGAAGGCGGUCUACCAGAACACGUCCGACGGUGAGGGAUGAAAGCUGGGGGAGCAAACCGGAUUAGAUACCCGCGUAGUCC